AUUGAACGCUGGCGGCAUGCCUUACACAUGCAAGUCGAACGGCAGCGCGGGAGCAAUCCUGGCGGCGAGUGGCGAACGGGUGAGUAAUGCAUCGGAACGUGCCAUUGAGUGGGGGAUAACGUAGCGAAAGUUGCGCUAAUACCGCAUAUUCUGUGAGCAGGAAAGCAGGGGACCGUAAGGCCUGCCACUUUGGGAUGGUCCCGCGUCUGAUUAGCUUGUUGGUGAGGUAACGGCUCACCAAGGCGACGAUCAGUAGCUGGUCUGAGAGGAUGGUCAGCCACACUGGGACUGAGAUACGGCCCAGACUCCUACGGGAGGCAGCAGUCGAGAGGCUUCGGCAAUGGGGGAAACCCUGACCGAGCGACGCCGCGUGAGCGAUGAAGCCCUUCGGGGUGUAAAGCUCUUUUGUGAGGGAGAACUGCAACGGCCUAAUACGCUGUUGUUUGACGGUACCUUACGAAUAAGCUCCGGCUAACUCCGUG
rnacentral:rRNA from 1 species